GGUUCCAUAGUGUAGCAGUUAGCAUGUCUGCUUUACACGCUCAAGGUCCUGGGUUUGUGUCCCGGUAGAGCCA
rnacentral:tRNA from 1 species